rnacentral:misc_RNA from 1 species
UGUGGGAGCGAGCCUGCUCGCGAAGCAGGCGCCGCGGUAUCUCUGAAACACCGCGGUGAUGCAUUCGCGAGCAGGCUCGCUCCCACA